GAUGAACGCUGGCGGCGUGCUUAACACAUGCAAGUCGAACGGGACUAUUUCGGACGGCGGCUUCGGCCAAAGUCUGGUUUAGUCUAGUGGCGGACGGGUGAGUAACGCGUGAGCAAUCUGCCCUUCGGAGGGGGACAACAGCUGGAAACGGCUGCUAAUACCGCAUAUAAUGCUCGGGUCGCAUGGCCUGGGUAUGAAAGAUUUAUCGCCGAAGGAUGAGCUCGCGUCUGAUUAGCUAGUUGGUGGGGUAACGGCCCACCAAGGCAUCGAUCAGUAGCCGGACUGAGAGGUUGAACGGCCACAUUGGGACUGAGAUACGGCCCAGACUCCUACGGGAGGCAGCAGUGGGGAAUAUUGGGCAAUGGGCGCAAGCCUGACCCAGCAACGCCGCGUGAAGGAAGAAGGCUUUCGGGUUGUAAACUUCUUUGACCAGGGAAGAAACAAAUGACGGUACCUGGAAAACAAGCCACGGCUAACUACGUGCCAGCAGCCGCC
rnacentral:rRNA from 1 species